rnacentral:lncRNA from 1 species
AGGAGGAGGAGGAGGGGAAGGAGGAGGAAGAGGAGGAGAGGGAGGCGUUUUCUGCCCAGACCGCCGCCAGUUCGAGCGGGCACGGGGACGGGGACACCCCACUCGUUGCUCCUCCGUUAUGGAAAGGUCACUAUCAUAUGACAAAGGCUUUGCUGCAGUUCAUCUUCCUCCCUGUGUACUUUCCAUUUGCCUUCCCGGAAUCCUGCUGCAUCACAGAAGCUGGAAAUUCU